UCGAGUUUUCCAACUCCAAACCUUUGUGAACAUACCAUUGUUGCUUCGGCGGGAUCGUCCCCGGGAACUGCUGUGCACGGCGUGACCCGGGUGCCCCCGCCGAGGGACCCAAACUCUUGUUUUUCCAGUAGGAUCUUCUGAGUAUCUUGAUAAAUAAAUCA
rnacentral:misc_RNA from 1 species